AAUAAGUCUAGUAUUUAUAAAAAUAAUUUAUAAUAAAAUAACAUUGAAGUAAAGUUUAUUGAAACUAUGUAUUUAAAAGCUAUAGUAAAAAGUACUGUAAAGGAAAGUUGAAAUAAAAUGAAAAAUUUAAAAUAAUUUAAAGCAAUUAUAAAGUUUUGUACCUUGUGUAUCAGGGAAAAUUAAAUUAAUUUCCUAUAUUUAGGUAAAUCCCGAAAAAAGAAGAGCUAAUAUAAUAAAAAGUUAUCGUGUUAAAGAUAUUUUAAAUAUUGUUUUAGUAAUGAAAUGUUAAUCGGUUCUUUAUAUCUGGUUAUAAGUGAAUCAAAUUUAAUUUUAUAGCAUUUGUUAAAAAUACUUUGUUGUUAAGAAAAGGAGGAAAAAGCUUCUUUUUCUAGAAAUAAUUUCAUUGAGUUUACGUUCUAAAUUAAAUGUGUAAUAAAUUUUAAAAUUAGGCUUAGAAGCAGCCAUGUUAGUAAAGCGUUUUAGCUAAUAAAAUAAUAAACUAAUAUUUAUAUAUUGUAAAACCUGUAAAAGUAACUUAUAAAUUAACAAAUUAAUACAGUUGUUGUUAAAAUGAUUUUAUUAGUAGAUAAUUUAUUGUGUUAUAAAAAUUAAUUUAAAUAUUUAUAAUUUUAUAAAAUAAAAUGUUUUAAAUAUACAGUUAAGGAAUUCGGCAAAUAUUUCUUUUGCCUGUUUAUCAAAAACAUGUCUGUGCGAAGGUAUGUAAAGUCUGGCCUGCCCACUGACUUAAUAUGUUUAAAGGGCCGCGGUAUUUUGACCGUGCGAAGGUAGCAUAAUCAUUAGUCUUUUAAUUGAAGGCUUGUAUGAAUGGUCGGACAAAAAGUAAGCUGUCUUCAGCUGUAGAGAUUGAAUUUGACUUUUAAGUGAAAAGGCUUAAAUAGUAUAAAGUGACGAUAAGACCCUAUAAAGCUUUAUAGUGUAACUUUUUAUUAUAAAUUAUAAAAUUGUAUAACUUAAUUUAAAGUAAAGCUCUUUUGUUGGGGCGACAGAAAUAUAAUAAAAUAACUGUUUUUGUUAAAGUAAAACAAAUAUUUUUGGUGCUAAUAAAUGAUCCUUUAUUAAAGAUUAAAAGAUUAAGUUACUUUAGGGAUAACAGCGUAAUCUUCUUUGAGAGUUCAUAUCGACAAGAAGGGUUGCGACCUCGAUGUUGAAUUAAGGUUCCUGCGUGGUGUAGCAGUUGCGGUUAGGAGGUCUGUUCGACCUUUAAAUCCUUACAUGAUUUGAGUUCAGACCGGCGUGAGCCAGGUCGGUUUCUAUCUUUUGUGUUAUAUAAAAAUUACUUUAGUACGAAAGGAUUAAGUAAUUGAAAUAAUUUUUAGGUUUAAAGAUUAAUGUUAAUUUACAUUGCCUUGGCAGAAUUAUGCACUAGACUUAGGAUC
rnacentral:rRNA from 1 species